GACAGCAAAUUAUUUAAGCACAUUCAACAGUCUUUGUGAUCCGCUGUGACAUCUGCCACAAGGAGACUCUAAAACUGAGGAAGUCAGCAGUUGGGACGGAAACUGCGGGUCAAGCUUUAACUCUGUGUGACAUUCUUUCAGGGACUUUCUUCCCAGAAGAGCUUGAGUUAGGAUCCUCCCCGGGGCUUCCCUCUGGUAAGGGUGUUAAGUCAAACUGCUGCUCUGCCUCUGCUGUAACUGUGGUCAUCCAAAGGGAGCAGACUUCUUAGAAGGACUUUGUACCCAGCACAGUGAUAAUUCCUUCAGUUGCAAGUGGACAAGAAAUCCAACUCUAACAAGCAAAUCAAAAGAGGGGAUUUGCCGGCUGGUGAGCGAGCAGCAGAGGGUUGCCUGGUGUGAUUCACAUGUGACUUUAGUCGGGUCUAAAAUUAUGUAACUCAGGCCCUACUAUAAAGCAAGCUUUCCGUUUGCAGGAUAAUUGGAAUUAUCUCAAGGUACAGGAGGCUGGUGAGAUGGGCAUCUUGGCCAGAAACGUUUGGAAACAGCUACAAAAUGACAUACUACUCUUUCCUCAAAAUACUAACCCCAUUCCUAGAAAUCUAGGCCAUAGUUUAGAAAAUAAACCCAGUGUGGGUAUACGGCUGUAGGUUUGUUUGAGGUUGGGGACAAGAUGGAAGCCCUAUGAAAUCUUAGGGGAAUCUGCACUGAUAUCGUGGGCUCAGAAAGAGAAGACCGGAGCUUUGGAAAGAGAAGGGCUUUGGCCAACAUUACACUGCAUGCUAAAAUGACAGGGGAAAAGAAAGAGGACCUGCCUGCCUCACACACGUGGACUAUUCUGUCAUUUAUGGACACAGAGACAGAUGUGGAGGUAAGUCAAUUUCUCAUUAGCCAGGGGAACAGGAUUACAGCGAGGGAGGUGGCCUGCUGUUGACAUCCAGGCUCAGAGGACAAAUGAGGUGGCCCCAGUUGCUUAGGUGCCUAGCACAGGUCAUGCUCACACUCUGCUGCCCCCUGCACUCCUGCUCGCCCUGUCCUUGAGCCUCUAGAGCAGUGGUUCUCAACCUCCCUAAAGCUGCGACCCUUUAAUACAGUUCCUCAUGAUGUGGUGA